rnacentral:lncRNA from 1 species
UUACAAGGAAUUUAGAGGUGAUAGUGGUGAGGACUCCCAUCGAGUUUUGGCCAAGUCACGCUAAAUGUGCUUGUCAUAUGAGGACGUGGAGUCUAAAAGUUUAACCCAGCUCGGGAGGUCCUUGACCACGCUAGGGAACCACAUGGUGGCUACGCAGCCAGAGGAGAAUCAAUUCAAUAAAAAAAAGAAUUAGUUCGAAAUAGGAAAAGAGGAAAUUCAGAUGAUAAAACAUGUUCGGUGCAACGACACUUACGUCUCAUAUUCCAUUCCUCAGGGAAUGGCAUCUUCUCGGCAAGGAUGAGCUCUGAAGUCCUAACUCGAAUGAAGCGGCUCAUCCACCUCCGGUCUUUAUCUUCGUUAGUAUUUGCAAAAAAUUCUUUGUUAGAUCGACGCUGCAGUUUGACUAGGCCCCCUUGAUAGAGACAAAGGCUAUACAAUCUAACCAAAUGAUCGAGGGUGAAGGGCAUCCCCUCGACCAUGUUCAAGAAAUGUCUAAUCAAAAAGACGAUUUUCCAAAAAGAGGGAUAAAUUUCACCAAGCGUCGCUCGACAUUUUCGACAAAAAAUCAAGGAUCAUCGGGUCUAUCGGUGGAGAAGAAGAAUCUACAUGACCUAAGGUAAAGGGAUAUGUAUGUACGUUGAGGAAACCAGGUCCGUGUGUGAUUAAAGAAGGGAUCUCUACUUGUACCGCCUCUCCCCAGCGGUAAUAUAUUUUCACCUUCUCUAUGUCGUUUAUUAGACUAAUGUAUCUAGAAUGGGCUCGCAUCGGUCCGGUAUCGAAGAAGGUUAAUCAAUUUUAAAAUCGGAGAAUGUAUCGAAGGACCCAGGAACACACUCCUCAACACUAGGAGGCACUACCUUUUUGCUCUUAGACGAAUGUGACGAAGAAGGGGCUUCCCCUUUUUAAGUACUGUCUUAGAUGUUUUGUCCAUGGUUAUAACAAAGUUUCAAAGCAAGCUGACGGAGAAGUGAACAAAGAAGAAGGGUGAAUGCAGGAAACUGUUAAUGGAGAUUUGAAGAUCUUAAGAUGUCGCAAAGGUUUAAAAGAUAUGGAAUUGGAGUAUUUAUAAGUCAUCUAAGUAAAUUAGAGGAGUUGAAAGAGAGACCAAUAGAGGUUCAUGGGCUUUCCGAGAGCCGUGUUGACAAGACCUCUGUACAAUUUUUCUAUCGCAUUGUUUAACAAUCUCACAUGGUUGAUUUUACAAUGGGGGUAUCAGGGAUCCAAGAACUCAAGAUCGUUUCUUAUCAUUUCAUUCUAAGAAACGCAAGGACAAUCUAUAUACGGCCAAAAUCGGAGAGUUCGACUUUGGGGCUACUUUGGAACUCCACUCCCAACCUUGAGGAGCUCGAAGUGGAAUUUGAAGUGUAACCCCUGAGGUGCAUCCCUUGAGGGAGUAUAUUGAAGGACAAUCUUGGAGCAGCACAAAUCGAUGAUCUUCAUGUAAAGGCGAGUAGGCUCCCGAGGACACGUGGUUAGACUCGACCAAGUCUACAAGAAUAGUACAAAUCCGUACUAAGUCAUUAUACAGUUGUACUAGUAGCAUUUCCCCAUCAUUAUUAGAUAUGUACCAUGUGGAGAUUCCCCAUUCAUAUAUAAAGGGGACCCUUGUCAUUUUGUAAAGGGAGACGACACAUUGUUGAAUACAAUAGAACAUUCUCUGCUCUUCUUGCUUAAACGUGCUCGGCAAUUACUCUAUAGAUUUAUUGCUUGUUCUUUCAUUGUUCAUUUAUUAUUCUUCAUUUAUUUCCCAUUAUUAACCGCAAAAGGCUAUCUUUGAGGCUUUCAUUAUCAUUGUUUCUUCGUCAAUUGUUCAUUGCUAACUUCCCUAACUACCUCGAAGCCCCAACUCCAGCCAACUCGGCUCAGUUUUGUGAUAGCUUUGGUUUACAUUUUUUAUUCUCUUUAUUUAUACUUAGCAUAUAUUGCCUAACAACUAGUAUUGAAAUAAAUCAUGUAUUUUUAGAACUACAAAAUAAAAUACAAUUGUCAAUACCAUACUCAAGGUAAACAAAUUUGAAUAGCACAAUUCUUCAAUUUUUAAAGCUGAAAAUUCUUGUUUGGUUGUGAAUAAUAGAAGUUAAUGAUUGAUUACUGUUAAAAUUAUCUAAAUGGGGAUAAUUUGUGCUUAACUUUUUAGUUCCAACACAGUUUUGGUGAUUGACUCUAAAAAUCUCAAAACUUAUUAUUUGGCUACAGAAAGUAACAAAGAAGUCAAAGUGCAUUAUUUGAUUUGGUAUUGUUUUACUAAAUUGGUGAUUGAAGAUCAUUUGUGUAGAUAUUUGAAAGCUUUGUUUCAAAUUUGAGAUCAUUUGAAGAAGAUUUUGAGUGGUUAAAGUUACAAAUUUGAAAAAUAAUUUUUUAAAACAACCAAAAAGUAGCAUGCAAACCGGGUAUAAUUCGAUGAACGACUUAAUAGAUAGGUAGAUAAAUAUAGCAUCAACUCCACUAACCCGGUAGACAAUCCUUGAAGAGUAAAACUACGACAAUUAGAUAAACUUCAAUGAACAACUUAAUAACUAGGUAGAGUAAUAAUAGCACCAACUCUUCAAUCUGGUAGAGAAAUCCUAAAGAGCAUAAGUAUGACAAUCAGAUAGACUUUAAUAAAAAAAAUUAAUUUAAUCCGGUGGAGAAACCCUCAAAGAGCUAUGCGCCGGUUCGAGAGCCAUCUUUUAAAUACUGCUUGUGGGGCCAUUACUGUCAAUCUCCAAUGCUAAUUAGGCCUUCUUGUGUUGGCCCGACAGAAAGGUUUAAGGCAAAUACUUUAGGAAAACUACCAGCUAUAUUCAUUUAUAAGUAGCUUAUUAUAAAAUUCGUCAAUUUAUACAAUAUUACUAAUAUAAGACAAAUAUUACUAAUAUUAGCUAAUUAGAUAUUUGUAGCAAACAAAUGUCAGAUUUUUUCUUUAUUUUUAGUGGGUAUUAUUGGAAUAGAUUGGGUACCUCUUAAAGAACUUGAAUCUCAGUUUUGGGAUGAUUUGGUAAAUUUUUGAGAUUGUUGAAAUUAAAAAUUCGAAGUAAAAACUGAACUUGAAAAAAAAAAGAUAUAUAUAUAUAUAUAUAUAUAUGUGUGUGUGUGUGUGUGUGUGUGUGUGUGUGUGUGUGUGUCAUAGACAUGUUAUAUAAAAUGUUGAUUGUUAUUUAAACCUCUAUACACGUUUGCCUAGUGAUGGAUACGUAUGCAAUAUUCAGGAAGCCCUAUAGACAUGCUCUCUAUAUGAUAGGCAGAAAUGCAGCACCAUAUAGACAUAUUGUCUAUGCCGGUUGCAAAAGAUAUAUAUAUAUAUAUAUAUAUAUAUGUGUGUGUGUGUCAUUUAUGUAUCUCAUAUGUAUCAUAUUUAUAUCAAUUGUGUAUCACAUGUAUAUCUAUGUAUACCUGUGUGUGAAAUACAUGCACGAACGUUUUUGAUAUAUGUGUCGCAGAAGAAUUUUUUGAACGCGAUUGAAUUACGAAAUUUGAUACAAAACCAGUCCAAAUCACCUCCAAUCUUCCUUAUAUUUUGUAUAUUGACUUAUCUAUAUGUUUUCAAUCAAUUUCAAUUAUACCCAUCGAAAAGGUUUCUUUCUACUUAGAUUUUUAAAAUAUUGUAUAUUUCUUUUUUUGCAUUUCAUCAUCUUAUUUGCUAACUUAUCCAUGAAAUUUCCUUUUCGUCUUGCAGCUAGUUUGCUAUAACGCUUAAAAAUAUCGAAAGUGAUUUUUGCAUGUGAUUCUUUGAGAGAAAGAACCUUAUUUAUUUGAAUUUUCAAUUUUUAUAUGCACUUGACUAGUUUUGAUAAAUCUAUUACUAAUGGCUAAAUGUUGGUAAGUUGAGAUUUAUUUGAGACAUUUAUGUGAGUUUCCUAAUAUUUUAAUGCAUUUUGCCUGUUUAGAUUGAAGAACAAAGAGUGAUUAUGUUUUGCCCUAAAAUUUAAUGGCUUAGGUGACAAGUAGUCUAUGUCUUUCUUAACAUAUCUAACUAACAUAUUAAUAACGUAAUUGAAUCAGCAAACUUAUCCGUAAUUUUGACCAAACAUAUUUGUUGGCUACUCCUGGGGUUCUUUCCGUCAAAAUAGGGUGGUUUCUCAACUUUAGAGAAUGGAAGGUUUAUAAAUUACCAAGAAAAAAAAUUGUAAGAGAGGGACACUGGACCUCCUUUUAUUUAAGACAGUCUGCCAGGGAAAGGAUCUUAAGUUGGAGUGGAAGGCUAUCCCCGAUCCUUCAUGAAACCUUCUUUAAAGCCUAUAUCGCAUCGUUUAAGGUAACCGUGUUCCAUAUUAGAUUCAUCGUUGGACGUUUUAGUAAAGUAUUUCUGAUUGAAAACGUCUUCAGUCUUAUCAAAGUGACAAAUUAUGCUGAACUUGCCAGGGUCUACCACGGAUAAAUAGUUCGCAUUACUUGAGUGAAGAUCGCUUAUGACAUCAACCUCUAUCGUUGUUUUCUCUCGCCCUCGAAGGGCUUCGGAGUAGGAUCCUUCGAAUGCGCCAACUAAGUAAUCAUCGCCAUCGGCAUGAAUUGUACCCUAUUUAAUGAUCGGCUUGGGGACUGCAUCCAAACCCUCCUCAAGGGGCUCCUCAAUACGAGGUAGGAUCGCAUCGGCCACCUCUGACUCAACAAUCUUCUACCCGACUCCCUUCGAAGCAUCAGCACUGCAUCUUGCCCUAUGUACUAGUGGGAAACCGUCUUUUUGAGUUCUCCUUCAACACGAAGGCUCUCAGCAGUUGCGAAGUUAGGACCGUUGUAUCGGCCCUAGGCUUUCAAGCCUUAGCUCUCUUUGGUUUCAGGGAAUCCGCCAGCGUCUCCUUCUUUCUCUAUCCUUGGUGGGUUUUUGGAUCUCCUGUUUGCCAAAAGGAGGCGAUCUCAUUGAAAUGGCUUGCCCGAGGCUUGCACAAGCGUAAAAUGUCAAACAUACUUCCAAGAAAUCUAUUUACAAGGAAUUUAGAGGUGAUAGUGGUGAGGACGUACCAUGGUUUUUGGCCACUACAACAAAAAGGGAUACUAGCGGCAAUAGAAAAGGUCAUUAGUAGCAAUACUAAUUGCCACUAUAUCAUUUGCCAACUAUUGAUCUUUAGCCGCUAAAUCUAGGGUCGACAAAGCCUUUAGCAACUAUUCUAACAAAUGCUGGUAAAAGGUAUAAUUUAUUAUCCCUAAAAAUCAUUAGCUUUAACGGCAAUUAUUUGCGGCCGUUAUGAUGGCUUCUAAAUCAAUUUCUAGAAUUGCAAAGUUUUCUCUUUUAGCGCCUAUUUUAAUUGUCAAUAAAUUAAAUUAAAUUAAAUUGCCACUAAAAAUUAUAUACUUUAACAACUAUUCUAAUGGCUGCUAAAUUCAUCUAGAUAAUGAUUUAGCUUGCACUACGUUCAUUUUUAUUAUUGAUAGAUCUAAUUAUAUUAUUGAGAAAUAUGACCCUUUUAGCAUAUAUGAAAGGUACAAUUUAACAACCUUAUUAUUGUAAUGAAAACUUUCUUUGAUUUGGCAAAUAGAAUAAUUAACAAGAACAUAAUAAUUUGUUAAAUCUAGGCAAUAAAGCAAGUAUUAAUCGAUAUUAUGAUUGUAUCAAUGACACAAAAUACAAACUAUAUUUUUUGAAUGAAAUAACUGAUGUCAUUACAACUAAUCCUAUUGAAUGCCUGCAAUAAUAAAAUAAUAGAUAAAGAAGUCCACAAACAAUUUCCAUAGCCCUUCAAAAUAUCGAAAUAUUCCAAAUGCUAAAUUUUUGGACAUCAUAAGUGUAUGACCUGAAAUAAUAAUAAAUGUAUGUUAAAAGAUGAAAUUAAGUGACAACAAUAACAAUAACAACAACCAAGUAUAAUUUCACAAAUAAAGUCUGUGGAGGAUAGAGUGUAUGAAGACUUUACCCAUACCCUAGGGUAGAGAGGUUAUUUCCAAUAGACCUUGCACAAGAAUAUAAAAGGCGGCAAUAGAAUAAUAACAACAUAACCAGGAAGAUAGUACCACCGAACUAAGAAUCAGAAAAUAGACCUGGCAAAGAAAUAUCACAUGACACUGCAUAUAAUAUGAAAAAGUAUCACAACCAUGACAAUUUAACUUACCUAUAUUAUUUAUUUUGAGGUCGAAUGACGACUACAUUGAGAAGGCAUACUGGAUAAAGAAAAUGUACUUAUCGCGCUAAUCUGAUGCAGCGAAUAAGAGAAUUGGCAUCAUGUAGAAUAUAAAAUAGAUAAACUCACUGCUAGUUCAGUAUCAUAACUUAGCUUCUGUUACAGGCUACACUAUAGUUGUAACCCAAAAAAUCAGUCACGCAAAUUUCCAUUCAGUUCCCACAAUGAACUUUUAAAAACUGAAUUGUUCUUGUUAAUUCCACUCUCUACCCUCCUCUUCUACAAAUAACCUGUUGUUCUCCAUUUUCCAUAAGUAAUCUUCCAAAAUGCGCGCAUUUAUUUCAUUGUUCCUCUAGUCAUAACCAUCUUUUCGAUGACACACAUAAAAUCAUAGACGGGAAGGGACAGUACCAAGAAGCCAUAUAAAAGCAGAAUAAAAACAACUAGAUAGUAAGGUGAUCAACAAUGAAAGAAACAACGGUUAGUCAUGUUAAAUUAUAUUUUCUCUUCAACUGAUUAACGACAUCCAUAUCUGAUCCCCAAAAGUGUUUAUCCACCCAAAGAGGGACAUGACAUUAUAGAAAGUAGAAUAAAGAACCUACCUAGGAUUCAAAGAACUUCAACCAAACAUAUGUCAGAACUUCCAGUUGAGGAACAUGAAAUUAUUAAGAUGAUAAUAAAAAAAUAUUGACAGAAGUAGGAAGAGAUCUGCCAGUAUAGAAAACAAAGAAUUAAAACGGUUCCACUAUAUUGCUCAUUGAAAUAGCGCCCUUGGAAUAUUUGAUUAAAGCAAUAUGGUGAAAUGCAAGAAGCCAUCCACUUAUAACUUUAACCUACAACAUAUUAUGACAUAAAAAGAGUAAAGUAAAUCAGAAAGACUUGUAUCAUUCGAGUGGCCCAUCAUCACAAAUAAACAGCUUUCUAACAUAAAUACAUGAUUUUGGGUGAUAUAACAUUCAAGUUAUUUACCAGGUCAUAGUAACCAGAGCAUUAGUCAAGGUGUUCUAAUUUGAAACAUGUCGGAUAAAAUAUCCACCAUCCUCUGCUCACCAAAUUCAUGAAAAAAUUUAAAAUGUGAACAAAAGUUGCAAUAGUAAACAAAUACCAUUCAUACUAGACCUUGUGACUAAUGCUUUCAAAUCUAUGUUGUUUACUAAAUCUGUAAUCAGGAUACCUUGCAAAUUAAAAUUAGAUAUCUUAACUUACCAUAGAACCUUAGAAUUCAGGAAACCCAUUGUUUCGAAAGCUUCACUCUAAAUUACUUUUUAUUUUGAUUUAAUUGUCAAAUUAAUGGAAAACAUCAUUUGAAACACCCUUCAUGAUUCCAGAUUCUUCCUCUUUCUCUAAAUUUUGGAAACUGUCAAGCCUAAAAAAUUAGACAUUUAUAAAAAUAAAUUUUCUAUAAAAUAAAAUGUGACGUUAGCACAUUGAAAAUACAUAUCCCGAUUCCGAUUAGGUUACAGAUGAUUAACCUAGAAACUUUUCCACAUCUCAUCAACCAUGAAAUCUUCUAAAGUGUAUUCUGACUGCAUGAAUCUUGACAUACUCCAUCAAAUCUUACCUUAUCAACCCAUAAUAUAAAAGAAAUAAAGAGAGGGAUAGAUUAAUAUUUUGUGUGUGAGCGACUAAGAGAGUGAGAGAGAGAUGAGUUGGGUUACUUGGGAUGGUGGUCGCAGUGAUGGAGAAAGAUGGGAUUAGUAGCAAAGUGACUGAGAGAGAUAAAAUCCAUUUUGCUUAUUUCUUUUGUCUAAGAUUUUUCUUUAAUUGAAUCCAUUAAAUUUACAGGGAAAAUAUUUGGAGGGAAUGGGUGAUGGUUGAGAAAAAGAUAGAUGGGAAAGAUGAAAUAAUGAAAAUUGUGUUCAAUUAUUGAAU